rnacentral:rRNA from 1 species
UACGUAGGGUGCGAGCGUUGUCCGGAAUUAUUGGGCGUAAAGAGCUCGUAGGCGGUCAACUAAGUCAUACGUGAAAUCCCUCAGCUUAACUGGGGAACUGCGUGUGAUACUGGAUGGCUUGGAUUUGGGAGAGGGAUGCGGAAUUCCAGGUGUAGCGGUGAAAUGCGUAGAUAUCUGGAGGAACACCGGUGGCGAAGGCGGCAUCCUGGACCAAUAUUGACGCUGAGGAGCGAAAGCCAGGGGAGCAAACGGG